AAUACACCCGGUGUCACCUCCACAGCCCCAAAUACACCCGGUGUCACCUCCAGAGCCCCAAAGACACCCGGUGUCACCUCUCUCCAGCCCCAAAUACACCCGGUGUCACCUCUCCAGCCCCAAAUACAGCCGGUGUCACCUCUCCAGAGCCCCAAAUACACCCGGUGUCACCUCCACAGCCCCAAAUACACCCGGUGUCACCUCCAGAGCCCCAAAGACACCCGGUGUCACCUCCACAGUCCCAAAUACACCCGGUGUCACCUCCACAGCCCGAAAUACACCCGGUGUCACCUCUCCAGCCCCAAAGACACCCGGUGUCACCUCUCCAGCCCCAAAUACACCCGGUGUCACCUCUAGAACCCCAAAUACACCCGGUGUCACCUCUCCAGCCCCAAAUACACCCGGUGUCACCUCCACAGCCCCAAAUACACCCGGUGUCACCUCCACAGCCCCAAAUCCCGGCCGGCAUUGAGGUCACCGGGCUGGGAGAGCUCCGCGCCCCCCGUCCCGGGGUCCCGGGGGGUUUUGGGGGUCCCGCUGGCCCGGGGGACCCCGAGGGGUGCCGGGCACCCCACACCUCCCGCUAAUGGCAUCACACAGCUCGUUAGGCAAAAAUGGGGCGCGGGCGAAACCGGCAGCGGGGAGGAGGCGCUGGGAAGGGCGGGGGGCUCGGGGCUGCCGGGGGGGCCGUGCCAGCCCCACCGGGCUAUAAAUGCCCGCAGGUACCGGCUGAGGCACCGCGACACCUCGGGGAGCUGAUCCGCGCUGAGCCGGUGAGUCCCAGCCCCCCGCAGCACCCCAAAAUCCAGCCGGGGAGGUGCUGAGGGUGUCCCCGCUGUGUCUGUCCCCAGGCUGGCCAUGGCGUGUCCCCUGGAGCAGGCGCUGGCCGUGAUGGUCACCACCUUCCACAAGUACUCGGGCAAGGAGGGCGACAAGUACAAGCUGAGCAAGGCGGAGCUGAAGGAGCUGCUGAACAAGGAGCUGCCGGUCUUUGGGAGCAAACAAAUGGACGAGGCGGAGUUCAAGCGGCUGGUGAACGACCUGGACCACAACAAGGACAACGAGGUGGAUUUCAAGGAGUACGUUUGUUUCCUGGCCUGCAUCACCAUGGGCUUCAACGAGUUCUUCAAGGACGACCCCAGCAAGCAGCACCGCAGGAAGUGAAGCUGAUGGCCCGAGAUCUCAAUAAAAGCUUCUCCCCGAUCCCGCCUGACUUCUGGGGUCUCUUCCCAGUCUGAGUUCUGGGGGUUCUGUUCAGGUUCUGCCCAAUCCCAGUCUGAGUUCUGGGGGUUCUGUUCAGGUUCUGCCCAAUCCCAGUCUGAGUUCUGGGGGUUCUGUUCAGGUUCUGCCCAAUCCCAGUCUGAGUUCUGGGGGUUCUGUUCAGGUUCUGCCCAAUCCCAGUCUGAGUUCUGGGGGUUCUGUUCAGGUUCUGCCCAAUCCCAGUCUGAGUUCUGGGGGUUCUGUUCAGGUUCUGCCCAAUCCCAGUCUGAGUUCUGGGGGUUCUGUUCAGGUUCUGCCCACUCCUGGUUGAAUUCUGGGGGUUCUGUUCAAUUUUUGCCCAAUUCCAGUUGAGUUCCAGGGUUCUGUUCAGGUUCUCCCCGGUUCUAGCUGGGUUCUGGAGGUUCUCUUCGGGUUCUCCCCGGUUCCAGCUGGGUUCUGGGGGUUCUGUUCAGGUUCUCCCCGGUUCCAGCGGGGUUCUGGGGGUUCUGUUCAGGUUCUCCCCGCUCCAGGCAGCGGGCACAGUCUGACUCAUCCCUUCCUCCAUCUCCCUGGGUUUUUCCACUGCUCGGCUCAGCCCUGGCGUUUUUUGUUGGUUUUUUUUUUGGAGAAGUUUGAGCAAAAACAGCUCUUGGACGUUCCUCCCCCAGCCCGAAUGUUCUGGGGAGGGUUCGGGGCGCUUCAGGCCAGCACAGAGAGGAUUCGGGUGGCCACGAGGUGCCCUGGGUGACACCUCGGGGCUGGGGGGACACGAAGCCGCAGCGUGUCCCCGGUGCCCGCAUCCCCCGGGAUUUGGGAGCUCCCCCAAGCACCCCGGGCAGCUCGGGGCUGCUUUGGGAAACCCUCAAAGCUGCUCUUCGGCUUUCCAGAGAAACAAUCCCGCCUGUAAAACCCCCCAAAAACGGGGCAGAGCUGCCAGACCCCGUCCCCAAAUCCUCCAGCUCUUUCCUGAGCCCUUCCAGGUCCUUCCAGGAGCUCCAAACUUUCCCCUUUAUAAAGAGCCCCCGGAGCUUCUGCCCUUCCCAGUAACUCCCACAAAUUCCCACUCGCUAAUGGGGUGAGGAGCUUCAACCUCGGGCGCUUCUCCUGCCAAAAGGUACAGACCCCCCCCGAGCUGGGGAGGGGCCGAGGGGGGCUUGGUGAGCUCCCAAAUCCCCCCAGGGUGGGACUUUUGUCCCCGUUUUUGUCGCUCCGGUCCCUGCGGCAGCUGGGGGACACUCGGGGCUGGAAGGAGCCGGUUCCCGGCGCUCCCCGCACUCGUGCCCGGGCCACGCCGCCACCGCCACAGCUCCGUUACACAACGGGGAGCGGCGACGGGAAACAGAAAUCGCUGCCAGGCGACUGGAAAACAACAAAAAAACCUCGUCUCGACAGCACCCCCGCGGCCGAGCCCCGCUGGCUCCCGGACAUCCCUGGGGAC